UUAAUAGAAGAACAGGAAGAAGUUAGACACAGCGCAGGACUUCCGUCUCCUCCGGAGUGGACAGACACACUGCUUCAGUCUCGUGAGGACAGCUGGUCAAAUAUGAGGAGACAAUGAAACGACGGCUCACACACACGCAACAUCUGAAAGCAGUGAACCAGGAAGAACCUGAACUCUCUGCUGUCAGAAGACUUGCAUGUUCAGACCUGCUGCUGGGUCUCAGCAUAAGAUCACUGCUGCACCUCUGAGCAUAGGGAUCAGGAUUCUGCUGGUCUGGACUCAGGAUUGUGGAUCAGGACUCUGCCUUGACUCAGACUGAGAUGAAUUCCUUGAACUUUAAAAGUGUGACGGUGAUUGUGCUGUUAGGUCUGCUGCUGGGAGUGAUGUACACCUACAAGACCUACAGGUAACACACACUCACACACUCACCUGAACAGGUUCAACUGAGCUGAUACUAACAUGUGACAUCAUCAGAUUGCCGGCCUCUGAUUGGUCAGAGUGUCGUCACUGAAAAGUCAUAAGCGUGACAUCAAAGCAACAAUGUUUAACUGUAGAUCAAAGUGAAAAAGACAAACAUCCUGAAAACAUGCGUUCAUCUGCAACAUUUAGCAAAUGAAACAGAGGAGUCAGCUGCUGAAAACCAUGUCAGCAGCUGACUAUCAGCACUUCCUUCAGCUGACUCCUUCUCCCUCAUGCAUCCCAACUCUG